GAGAGCCCGACUCUAUGGUCGGCCGGCGCCAUCAUCUCGCGGGACGUGAGGGCAAAGUCUCGCGAGAGCGGGCGGGUCGGGGCUGGGCUUCGGCCGCCCGCCCGUCCAUCAUGGCCGGCGCUGAGGGGAAGGCGGGCGGCAGGAGAGGCUGGAGGGGAGCGGAGGCUCGGGCCAGCCUGACGGCCUUCGUGCUGGGCGGCUCCGUGGCCGCCGUGCCGCUGCUGCUCUCGGCGCCUCCGCCGGCGCUCCUCUCCGGGCCGGGCUUCCAAGGCCGCGCCGCGCUGGCGCUUCAUGUGACCGGCGUCAACACCGCCCUCCUGCUGGCCUGGGGCCGCGCGCCGGGGGGGAUGUACCAGAUUGCCAUCCGUGCCUGCUUCUUGGGCUUUGCUUUUGGAUGUGGUUUGUUGCUGAGCUUUGGACAAUCUUCGUGGAAGCAUUUUGGAUGGUAUAUGUGCUCCCUCUCUCUCUUCCAUUAUUUGGAAUACUUGGUGACGUCCGUUAACAACCCCCGAAGUCUGUCCUUGGAUUCUUUCUUGAUCAACCACAGCUUUGAAUAUAACGUGGCUGCAAUCUCGUCCUGGGUUGAGUUCACCGUGGAAAAAAUAAUUUGCCCAGAAAUGAAGCAGGUCACUUGGCUGAGUUCAGCAGGGCUCCUCAUGGUAGUUUUUGGGGACUGUCUGAGGAAAGCUGCAAUGCUAACCGCCGGCUCCAACUUCAACCACAUCGUUCAGAAUGAAAAAUCGGAGACGCACACGUUGGUGACCAGAGGCGUGUAUGGCUGGUUCCGUCACCCAUCCUACGUAGGGUGGUUUUACUGGAGUAUUGGAACCCAGGUAUUGCUGUGUAAUCCGAUCUGUGUGGUGGGCUACACCCUGGCAUCCUGGCGCUUUUUCCGAGAGAGGAUAGAAGAAGAAGAGAUGACGCUGAUCCACUUCUUUGGCGAAGAGUACCUGGCCUAUAAGAGGAGGGUGCCAACUGGCUUGCCGUUCAUCAGAGGGGUGAAAGCAGAACUGUGAGACCCUGGUGCGAGCCUUGAGCAGAACAUGGGAGCCCUUGCUCUGGGGGCCGCCUGGCCUGGCUAGCGCUGCAUGCCGUGCGGUACAGUAGUGCUCCAUUUUAAUUCUUAGUGAUGAAUUUCCUGGAGGUUUUUGGAGUGCUAGGAAGAAGCAUGAUCAACUUUAGUCACAAAUAGAUGCCCUCCCUUGAUGUCAGCGGGAGAGGCAACCACCGGCAUUAUUGAAGCGGCUCUGAAUCCUCAAGGCUGACUUUAAGAAAAUAAGCUUUUGCCACUCUGCUUCUCGUAGCCCUGAUGGACUGAAGUGCACCAAAGCAAGUUCUCUUCAAGACAAGUUUGCCCUUUCCGGUACCACGUUCCUCUACAAGGGGGCUGGAUGGAAGCUCACCUCUUUAGUCAGACUCUUUUUAAAAAGCCAAAAAGGCCCAGUUCUUUUUUAUCUGCCCCAUCCACCCGCCUGCAGAGGGAAGCACAGCACAGCUUUAGCCUCUGGGCCAGAUCCUACAAGAUCCCGUAGGGCACAAAGCACUCCCAAGGCCGGAGAUGAGCAGGAAGGCUUGCAGCAGCUAAGUCUUCUGUUUCUGUCUUAAAUGCAUGAUCUCUUUGUCACCUAAAACCAGUCAGCUGACUGUCACCUAAGAAGAAGAAUGCUCACUGACGAGAUCAACAGCACAGGCAGAGAGAGAUCUCCCUUUGCCCUUUUUCUAAACUAUACAAAGCCAGGCUUGCAUUCCACCUCACAAAUGAAUGAAAAGAUAUCUCUGCAUCUAAAUGUUAUGGUCCGCUAUUCUUUCAUUGCCACCUUAGUCCUGUCCCCUCAGUUGAGAGGUCCUGUCUGGGUCUGUUGCACACCUUUACAGCCUUCUUGUUUGUUCCACAUUAUUGGUAAUGACCACCUCCUCCACAAGUCUCCUAUUUCUGUGGCAAGAGUUCAAAUUCUGUUCCUGUAACAUGCAAGGGGGCAAUUGUUUUUGACUUUUCAUACAUUUGAAGGAUGAUUUAAAAAUUGGCAAUAUUUCUUAAGCAGGAUCUACAUGGCUAACUGAAAGAGAUUCCCCCCCAGCUUUUUUUUACUAUUCAUGUGCUACACUUUUUUCAUGUUCUAUACCAAAGAGAAGUUUACUGUUUUUGUGAUUCUGCUGAUCUACUUAGGAUGGGAGUUAAGACACUUGCAAACUGUGGCCAAGGCUGUAAUUUGUAAUCUGGAGAAUGGAACAUUUUCCACUGAAAAAUGAAGCACUGGAAAUUUUUUCACCGCACCUCAUUGCUGGUAACUGGAUGCUUUGGAUGCCCGGCAAAGGUCCUGCUACUGCCUCAGAAAUUGCAGCAGGCGUUUUGCAGAGUACCUUCCACUCCUUCCUCAAGGAGGCUAGUUGUUGACAAUGAAGGUGGGAGGAGGCCAGCGCAACAGAGCUGAGCUGUGUCAUACAGGAAUUCAGGUUAGCUUCAGCAAAGGCUUCUCAGAAGAGGUAGCUCUGAGUUGUGGGAAGAGGAGGGCAGGGCAUUGUGUCAGAGUCCCAUGAGCAAAUGUGAAGCAUAAGGGCAGCAAGUGAGGGAAGCGCAGAGCUGUUAACCGAGAACAAGAUGCUUGUCCUUCUGCCUGUUGGCAGCACCGUUCUCUGUAGGCCUUGGCAGUUGUGCUUUAAUGCUUGUGCCAAUGCUGGGUGGGGGGCUGGCCCCACUGAAGGGGGCAGGGCUCUUCUCCAGCUUGUCUCUCAUUCACGCCCUCCUCACACACUUCUUGGGCAAGGCUUUUGUACUUUGUCGCCUGCCGGUGUGGCUGCUUCAUCCCAGUUCCAGCACGAUUUCCUGACUGCCUUCCUGAACUGGUAGAGCAGGGCUGUGGGGCAGAGACCCCUGGAGCUGAUCCGCUCCAUUCCUUGCUUUGCACCACGGCCUGUAGCCUUUUGAUCUGGGCAAUCAUUUGCAAGUCUUGGCCUAGUUUGGUUUGAGCUUUACUGUCAUGUCACCUCUGACUCACCUUUUCUCUAAACUAAAAAGCCCCAAAUGCUGCAACCUUUCCUCAUAGGAGAGUCGCUCCAUCCCCUUGAUUGUUUUGGUCGCCCUUUCCUGAACCUUUUGGAGCUCUACAAUACCCUAUUUGAGGUGAGGUAACCAGAACUUUACAUAGCGUUCCAAUAAUAAAUAAAUGUGAACCGAUGUGUGAGGUCUGCCUGAAAAGCGGUAUAUAAAUGCCUUAAAUAAAUAAUAAAUACUUUACUCUGUCCCCCUUGCUCUAACCCAGAUACCUCAAGAAAUUUGCUUGGUGCAAAGGUUAGUUUGCUUUGGGAAAGAAAACCAUGUUCAUUUCCUGCUUUAACUAUAGAAUGUGCUGUGGGAAUUGGAAACUUCUGGUAAAUGUCUUUGUUGUUCCCAAGAGUCCAGUCAUUGCCCUUCUUUAGACUACAGCACAAGAGUUCUGGUGACCCUAAUUCUUUAAUCUUAGUGCACAGUGUGACGAUCCCACCUUUGGCUCCACCUGUCAGGUUCCCACCUGCUUGUGGCUACCGCCUUUCACUAGGCAUCACCUCAGGACACCACCAGUCAGGAUUGUCAUUUUUAUUUUUUCUUACUCUGCUCUAGCACAGGUCUCGCAAGAUCCCACUGCUAGGCAGCACCACCAGCCACUCCCUGUAAACAAUACUGCUAGAGACUUCGCCUUAGUCUCCCUAUGGCUUGUUACUUUGUUUCUGGGUGCCCUUGCUGUCCACAACCCCCUUGUAUCUUUGUCUAUAAAGCAUACAAUCCUGGGUUGCUCUGGAUACUUGACGAUGUUACAAUUUCUUCCUUCACUGCUGCCACCAUUAGAUACAGUUUCCCUUCGGGCUUGGUAAUUACCCUGCCCUCCCUUCUGGUCUGUAUAUCCCCAGCCAAGGAUCAGGCUUUUGGUAAACCAAUAAGAGUAUUUAUUUGAUCACACCAGGAAAUAACAAGAUUACUUUAGGAAUGUUUAACAAGCGUAUGGUUUCAUAUAGUGUCACUCUUAUGUUUCCAGUUAUACAUGUUCUGUCCAAAUAUCAGCCUAAUAGAAUCCAAACUUCCCUCAGAACUCUGCCAACUCAAUCCCAACUGCCUCCCACUUCAACUCCUUUCCAAUCACUCUCCUCUCAACUCCCCCCAACAACCUCUCAUUUAUACCUUCAGCCAUUCAAACACUCAGCCAAUCAUCAUCCAACAUUCUCCAGCAUUCUAGCCCAUGUACUCCCCCCUCUUACUCAAUUCACUUACCAUAUAUCCCUAUAUAAACCCGCACUUACCAUAUUUACAGUUUUUAACAUAUAAGGACAUCACACACAGCAGAGUUAAUUUUAAGACUGCCAUGGAGAGACAGCUUAUGACUUGGGUCUUCUUGGCAAACUGUUUCUCAGCAGGUCUUGAGAAGUCGCUGGGAAAUUCCGUUUGGCUUCUUGUGAACCGCAGGGCUGCUGUUGAGAGCCCCUUGGCUGGCCUUGUGCUUGGAAUGAGCUGAAAUUUCAGUAGCUUUAUAGUUUGAACUGUGGCAUAGGAGGAGUGGAAAGAACUUGUCCCACACUGCACAGCUGACCUACUGAAAUAGGAAACUUUGAUUUUCUUAUAUUUAAAAGAGGACUAGACAAAUGCAUGGAGGAAAAAGGCUUUCGAUGGCUAAUAGCCAUGAUGGCUGUGCUCUGCCUCCAUUGGCAGAGCCAAUAUGCUUUCAAAUGCCAGUUGCUGGAAACUGCAGGAGAGGAUAGCGCUCUUUGCACUCAGGUCCUGCUUGCGGGUUUCCUGCGGGCAACUCUUUGGCCACUGUGAGAACAGGAUGCUGGUUUAGAUGGGCCAUUGGCCUGAUCCAGCAGGCUCUUCUGAUGUGCUUCUGAUGUUCCCUCAUACUGAGUUAAGUUUAGUGGUCUGUGCAGCCCAGUGUUUUCUUCUCCAAUGGGUAGUGGCUUUCCAGGAUCUUGGGCAGAGGCCUCUCUGAGCCCUGCUCUCAGGAGGCUUUGCCCUGGAACGGACCCUGGGAUCUUCUGUGUUUGAAGCUGCUUCACAGGGAAAGGGCUGCAGCGCAGAGGUGGCUCUGUGCUUUGGAUGCCUCCAAUUCAAUCCCAGCAGCACCUCCAGGUACAGUGCUGAAUGUUCCCUGCCUGAAAUCCUGGAGAGCAGCUGCCAGUCAGUGUAGACAGUACUCAGCUAUGUGGACCAAAGGUCUGACCCCUGCAUAAGGCACCUGCCUGCAUUUCCGCUACAGAACUAUAAGCUCUCCUGGUCAAGUUUGUAUCUGUAAUGCCUCAAAUUGUUCUAGAGUGGCAGUAGCUAAAGUGGUCUCCAGAACUGUCUACACUGGCUCAUGUAACUCACUCUAGGAGGAAACUAGUACAUCAGUAAUGGAAAACCCAAAAUUGAUAUAACAGCAAGCGUCUGUUGCUGAACUGCAAACCAUGCAAUAAUCUGGUUAUGACUGUAAAAUGCCCCCUGAAUGGCAGCCUUCCCCAACCUGGUCCCCUCAAGGUGUUUUAGACUACAGUGCAACUCUCUUCAGCCCCAGCCUGCACAGGUGCAACACAAAAGCACCUCUCAUUGUCUUCAGUGGGACUUCUUUCCCACUAAAGGGUGGGGAAAAAUUGGCCAAAGGUGCCCAGGCUUAGAAUUGAGCGAGUACCCAAGCAGAGGGAGUGGCACAACCACCAAGAAGAGCCCCCUGUCCUCUCCUUUGAGCAGAUGGGGGGGAGGGAUGCUUGGCUUUCCCUGUUGGUUGCUUAUUGGGCUAGAGGGAUUAAACCCUGCUUGCAAGUUAGCCAACGUGUUUCUGUCACAGUAUUCCUAGGCAUGUUUGCUCAGACAUAUGCGUUCAAGAGCAAACUUUUCAUACAGCUUCCUUCGCUGGUUUCUGGGGCAGAUUUUCAGUUGCCCCAAACGACUAGGCCGUGGCUGUACAUAGGCCUUCACAUAAUACAUAAAAGGAAAUAAUGUCUUCCCCCUUUUCAUAACUCUGAUUUCUAGGGACAUGGAGGGGGAAGAGACUCCCAGAAAUGUAUAUAUAAGCAAACCCACUUCCUGUCUUUGGAUGUCCCUCCCCCAGGGGUCUGUGGGUACCGUGACUUGGUGGGAGUGCAAAAUUAGGGUAUUAAGAGCAGGGCUCCACUUUCUGAGACUCCCAGCUUCAGCUUUUUUAUUUCAAGCACGUUUCCAGCCUUUGUGGUUUUAGAGAAACGCUGGGAAGUAUGUAGGCACAAAGCAUGGUGACAUAAUCUGAAGUCUGGGGGUAGAGUCUAGUGCCCAGUAUGGCUCCUCUCUGCUCCCUAGGACAGGGAGAAACAAAUAACUUUUUUUUUAAAAAAAAAAAGCGUGCACAUUUACUCAGUCAGUAUAAUUUGUAUGGAGCGCGGAAUACAGCUUUUGUUGGAACAAAAUUUGGAUGUCGCAUCCUAGUUUCAUUUUUAUGGAAAGCAUGGUGUGCAGACACUGGCUUACCCCACUCCACCCCUCCCUCUCUGGUAACCAGCCCGUUUGUGUUGCUGGGAGAAUAUCCUGAGUUUCCGUCUGAAAAUUGUUGGGCUGGUUUUUUGCUUUGUUACCUCAAAAGCUGAGAGGCCAUUGUUUACUUUCCAUUCCCUUUGGAGCAGCUGCCUGGCACCCAACUCAAUGGAGGAUCAGUUCUGUUCUUUUGUAGUUUUAAAACAAUAAUAAUAAAAAUAUUUUUAAGUCUUU